GACGAACGCUGGCGGCGUGCUUAACACAUGCAAGUCGAACGGAAAGGCCCUGCUCUUGUGGGGUGCUCGAGUGGCGAACGGGUGAGUAACACGUGAGUAACCUGCCCUUGACUUUGGGAUAACUUCAGGAAACUGGGGCUAAUACCGGAUAGGAGCUCCUGCUGCAUGGGGUGGGUUGGAAAGUUUCGGCGGUUGGGGAUGGACUCGCGGCUUAUCAGCUUGUUGGUGGGGUAGGGGCUUACCAAGGCUUUGACGGGUAGCCGGCCUGAGAGGGUGACCGGCGACAUUGGGACUGAGAUACGGCCCAGACUGCUACGGGAGGCAGCAGGGGGGAAUAUUGCACAAUGGGCGGACGCCUGAUGCAGCAACGCCGCGUGCGGGAUGACGGCCUUCGGGUUGUAAACCGCUUUCGCCUGUGACGAAGCGUGAGUGACGGUAAUGGGUAAAGAAGCACCGGCUAACUACGUG
rnacentral:rRNA from 1 species